rnacentral:rRNA from 1 species
UACGUAGGGUGCAAGCGUUAAUCGGAAUUACUGGGCGUAAAGCGUGCGCAGGCGGCUUUGCAAGACAGAUGUGAAAUCCCCGGGCUUAACCUGGGAACUGCAUUUGUGACUGCAUGGCUAGAGUGCGGCAGAGAGGGAUGGAAUUCCGCGUGUAGCAGUGAAAUGCGUAGAUAUGCGGAGGAACACCGAUGGCGAAGGCAAUCCCCUGGGCCUGCACUGACGCUCAUGCACGAAAGCGUGGGGAGCAAACAGG